rnacentral:rRNA from 1 species
CUGGCGGCGUGCUUAACACAUGCAAGUCGAACGGUGACCCAGGGCUUGCCCUGGUGAUCAGUGGCGAACGGGUGAGUAACACGUGGGCAACCUGCCCCUGACUUCGGGAUAACUCCUCGAAAGAGGAGCUAAUACCGGAUACGACCACUUCGGACAUCCGAUGGUGGUGGAAAGUUUUUCGGUCAGGGAUGGGCCCGCGGCCUAUCAGCUAGUUGGUGGGGUAAUGGCCUACCAAGGCGACGACGGGUAGCCGGCCUGAGAGGGCGACCGGCCACACUGGGACUGAGACACGGCCCAGACUCCUACGGGAGGCAGCAGUGGGGAAUAUUGCGCAAUGGGCGAAAGCCUGACGCAGCGACGCCGCGUGAGGGAUGAAGGCCUUCGGGUUGUAAACCUCUUUCAGCAGGGACGAAGCGAAAGUGACGGUACCUGCAGAAGAAGCACCGGCUAACUACGUG